UACGUAGGUGGCAAGCGUUGUCCGGAUUUAUUGGGUUUAAAGGGUGCGUAGGUGGUCUAUUAAGUCAGUGCUGAAAUAUCCCGGCUUAACCGGGAGGGUGGCAUUGAUACUGAUGGACUUGAGUGGAGUCGAGGUAGGCGGAAUUGACGGUGUAGCGGUGAAAUGCUUAGAUGUCGUCAAGAACACCGAUAGUGAAGACAGCUUACUAGGCUCUAACUGACACUGAGGCACGAAAGUGUGGGGAUCAAACAGG
rnacentral:rRNA from 1 species